rnacentral:pre_miRNA from 3 species
UCUCAGGGAUGAGCAAAGAAAAUGGUUUAUUGAGAUAGAAUGUAUUCUCGGUGAAGAUGCUGUGAA